CACAGUAUGAAAGAUACGCAUACGCUAAAUAAAUAAAUAAAUAACAGUAUGAAAGAGAAUGCUUGCCCGAAAAUGUGAGAAAAUGGGGAAGAAGCACACCAACAACUAAGAAUACCUGAUUAGAGGUCCUGAGGGGUCCCUCCAUCCAGAACACAAAUCAUUUUUUGGCUACAUUUUCAUAAAACUUCUUUCUUGUUCAGGACCACCGUGCGUUCGAUGAAU